ensembl:antisense Gm28505 predicted gene 28505
AAUCAGUCCGUUCCUUUCUCAGUCUCAGUCUCGUUUUCCAGUUCACUCCAAGGAAAGCCACCAUUCUACAGCCCCAGGACAGCGAUGCUACUUUCACGGGCUUUUAUUCAACGAAUGGAUUAAACUAAAAAUCAUAGUACUUCCACUCAGGCCCAACCGCCCCUCUCCAGAGAAAGCGCUGCCUCACAGGAGAACAGCUGGGGCUGAGAGGAGCCGGUUGCUACUCAGAGGAGCUAGGGAGAAAAAAUCCAAUUCCUAUGGAAGUAUGAAAUCAUAUGACCUCAGCCAGAUCAAGAUGCUGCAAAGGUGAGGACGGUCCAGGCUCCAGGAGACUCUUCUCUGCUCACAUCAGCAUAGCAAAAGGAUGGGUUUCUACCCGGACUACACGGGAGAUGGCACAGGCAGAUGGAGAGGGAGAAGGAUCCCUGAGCUGGCUCAUGCUUGCCUGGAUCCCUAUUCACACACAAGGAAAUGACCCAUCUGGGAGCUAGGAAUGCUCGGAUCAGCAGCCCUGAGACAAAUGAUACAGUGGAUAUCAGCUAACUACUGCUGCAGCGCCCUGUCUUCUGCCUUCAUCUAACUACUGCAGCAGCACCGUGCCAUGCUUCCUGCCAAGAUGGUGAUGGAUUUGACUGUCCCCAGGAACUGUGAUCCCAAAUUAAAUACUUUUGUUUAUAAGU